GGGGGAUUGAACUCAGGGGCACUCGACCAGUGAGCCACAUCCCCAGCCCUAUUUUGUACUUUAUUUAGAGACAGGGUCUGAGUUGCUUAGCACAGUGCUUUUACUGAGGCUGGCUUUGAAUUCUUGAUCCUCUAGCCUCAGCCUCCAAAGCCACUGGUAUUACAGGUGUGAACCACUGCCUGGAGUAUUAAUUGUUAGCUGAUAACUCAUCUCUUUUCAGAUUUCUCAGUUGUCCCUAAUAUACUAUAUUUGAACCAAGUCUUUUCAAGACUUUUGCAUCAUUGUGUUGUUUUUGUUUAUUUUGACAUAAUUAAUAGAUUCCCAAGAAGGUACAAACACAUGUACCAGAAGAUUCUCUGUACCUUUCACCUAGCCUUCGCAUUGUGAACAUUUGCAUCAUUGCAGGACAGUAUCAAAACCAGGAAAUUAACAUUUUUUGUACAACUUAGCUUAUUCAGGUUUCAGUAAAUUACCAAGAAAAUUGAGAUCCUGACUGUACCUCAUUACAAGAUGCCCUAUUCUCAUCCUGUGCUUCUGGCAACCACUGAUCUGAUCUCCAUGUCUGUAAUUGUGUUAUUUAACAAAUGUUAUAUAAAUGGAGUCAUGAAGCUUGUGUUGUUUUGAAUUUGGGCUCUUGCAUUGACCACAGUUUCCGCGUUCCUCGCUACUGAAACACUCAGGGUCAUUCCAGGUGAACUGGGCUGCAUGAAAUAACCACACAAGAGACAGAGAUACCUUUUUAUUUGGGUCCUGUGACGGCUCCUCUAACCUUAAGGGUCCACAGAAAGAGUGCGUGCGCUGAACCCUUUUAUUGAGGAGAAGCCAUUCAAAUGAGGCAAGGGGUCAGGUUUCAGGGGGUUGAGUCUAGCUUCAUGGUGUCUGUUGUCAGCAGAUUGACUGACAUCUAGGAAAGGCACAGUAAGAGAAAGGGACACACAAAGGACAUUUCCAUGGAACAUUCUAUCCCAAACAGGGCAAAGUGUUAGUAUUACAAAGGAAUGGGUGUAGAUGAGUGUAGCUCAAUCCAUGGGGCAGCAUGCCUACAUCUGAAGACAUGCCGUCAAACUUCCUGGAAUGUCCAGGUCACUACAAGAUGUAGUGACCAGUCAAAGCCUCUCCGCUCCAGGAUGGAAGGUGCGAAUCAUUCAGAGUGGCUCCCCACACACAGUUUCCU
rnacentral:lncRNA from 1 species